AAGGAAUAUUGGACAAUGGAGGCAACUCUGAUCCAGCCAUGCCGCAUGAAGGAAUAAGGCCCUAUGGGUUGUAAACUUCUUUUAGACGGGACAAAACCCCUUUACGUGUAAAGGGUUGAUGGUACUGUCAGAAUAAGCAUCGGCUAACUUCGUGCCAGCAGCCGCGGUAAUACGAAGGAUGCAAGCGUUAUCCGGAAUUAUUGGGUUUAAAGGGUGCGUAGGCGGACUAAUAAGUCAGUGGUGAAAGCCUGCAGCUUAACUGCAGAAUUGCCAUUGAUACUGUUAGUCUUGAGUACAGUUGAGGUAGGCGGAAUGUGUCAUGUAGCGGUGAAAUGCUUAGAUAUGACACAGAACACCGAUUGCGAAGGCAGCUUGCUAAGCUGUAACUGACGCUGAGGCACGAAAGCGUGGGGAGCAAACA
rnacentral:rRNA from 1 species